CCCUCUGGGGUCACGCACUCCGGGGAGUGAUUCUGCGUGAUGGCAAGGAACCUGUGCCGCUGCGGCUGCGAAUCGAAGAGCAGGGAACGGUCGCGGCCAGAGUCUUCGCCGAGGGUCUGGGCGUGGGCACCCGCAGCUCCCUCACCUAUUCCAUUCCCGCCGGCGUCUACCAGACGUUUGAGGUCUGGGCGGGUUUGCAUCCGGACCUGGGCGCCCAAGGCAACGUGAUGUUCGAAGUCCGGGGCAACGAGGACAAGCUCCUCGCCAAAACCGGUCCGGUGAAGGGCGACGAUCCCGCGCAGCAUCUCGCCGUCCCCCUGGCCGGUGUCACCACUUUGCAGCUCAUCGUGUCUUCCGCGGGUGGGAACGGGUCCGGCAACUACGCCAUAUGGGGAGGGC
rnacentral:rRNA from 1 species